rnacentral:rRNA from 1 species
GAUGAACGCUGGCGGCGUGCUUAACACAUGCAAGUCGAACGAAGCACUUUAUUUGAUUUCCUUCGGGACUGAUUAUUUUGUGACUGAGUGGCGGACGGGUGAGUAACGCGUGGGUAACCUGCCUUGUACAGGGGGAUAACAGUUGGAAACGGCUGCUAAUACCGCAUAAGCGCACGGCAUCGCAUGAUGCAGUGUGAAAAACUCCGGUGGUAUAAGAUGGACCCGCGUUGGAUUAGCUAGUUGGUGAGGUAACGGCCCACCAAGGCGACGAUCCAUAGCCGACCUGAGAGGGUGACCGGCCGCAUUGGGACUGAGACACGGCCCAAACUCCUACGGGAGGCAGCAGUGGGGAAUAUUGCACAAUGGGCGAAAGCCUGAUGCAGCGACGCCGCGUGAGCGAAGAAGUAUUUCGGUAUGUAAAGCUCUAUCAGCAGGGAAGAUAAUGACGGUACCUGACUAAGAAGCACCGGCUAAAUACGUG